AUUGAACGCUGGCGGCAUGCCUUACACAUGCAAGUCGAACGGCAGCACGGGAGCAAUCCUGGUGGCGAGUGGCGAACGGGUGAGUAAUAUAUCGGAACGUGCCCAGUCGUGGGGGAUAACGCAGCGAAAGCUGUGCUAAUACCGCAUACGAUCUACGGAUGAAAGCGGGGGAUCGCAAGACCUCGCGCGAUUGGAGCGGCCGAUAUCAGAUUAGCUAGUUGGUGAGGUAAAGGCUCACCAAGGCGACGAUUUGUAGCUGGUCUGAGAGGACAACCAGCCACACUGGAAAUGAGACACGGUCCAGACUCCUACGGGAGGAAGCAGUGGGGAAUUUUGGACAAUGGGCGCAAGCCUGAUCCAGCAAUGCCGCGUGCAGGAUGAAGGCCUUCGGGUUGUAAACUGCUUUUGUACGGAACGAAACGGUGAACUCUAAUACAGUUUGCUAAUGACGGUACCGUAAGAAUAAGCACCGGCUAACUACGUGCCAGCCGCCGCCGUAA
rnacentral:rRNA from 1 species